GACGUAGGGCGCGAGCGUUGUCCGGAUUUAUUGGGCGUAAAGAGCUCGUAGGCGGCUUGUCGCGUCGUCUGUGAAAUCCCACGGCUCAACCGUGGAAGUGCAUUCGAAACUGCAGGGCUAGAGUCCUGGAGAGGAAGGUGGAAUGCUUGGUGUAGAGGUGAAAUUCGUAGAUAUCAAGCGGAACACCGGUGGCGAAGGCGGCCUUCUGGACAGUGACUGACGCUGAGACGCGAAAGCGUGGGGAGCAAACAGG
rnacentral:rRNA from 1 species